UUCCGGUUGAUCCUGCCGGACCCGACUGCUAUUUGGGUGAGAAUAAGCCAUGCGAGUUGAAUGGGAUACCUAAAGUUCCCAUAGCAAACUGCUCAGUAACACAUGAUCAACUUACCCUAUAGAGAAAAAUAACCUCGGGAAACUGAGGAUAAUGUUUCAUAAUUGAAUUGGCUUGGAAAAGUUUUUCAAUGAAAAGGAUAAAAAAAAUGGUUUUUAUCUGCUAUAGGAUAGGAUCGUGUUCGAUUAUGGUUGUUGGUGAGAUAAUGGCUCACCAAGCCGAUAAUCGAUAGGGGCCGUGAGAGCGGGAGCCCCGAGAUGGGUACUGAGACAACGACCCAGGCCUUACGAGGCGCAGCAGGCGCGGAACCUCCGCAAUACACGAAAGUGUGACGGGGUUACCCAAAGUGUUCAAUUUGAACUGUGGUAGGUGAGUAAUGUCCCCUACUAGAAAGGAGAGGGCAAGGCUGGUGCCAGCCGCCGCGGUAAAACCAGCUCUUCAAGUGGUCGGGAUAAUUAUUGGGCUUAAAGUGUCCGUAGCCGGUUUAGUAAGUUCCUGGUAAAAUCGGGUAGCUUAACUAUCUGCAUGCUAGGAAUACUGCUAUACUAGAGGGCGGGAGAGGUCUGAGGUACUACAGGGGUAGGGGUGAAAUCUUAUAAUCCUUGUAGGACCACCAGUGGCGAAGGCGUCAGACUGGAACGCGCCUGACGGUGAGGGACGAAAGCCAGGGGAGCGAACCGGAUUAGAUACCCGGGUAGUCCUGGCCGUAAACGAUGCAUACUAGGUGAUGGUACGGCCAUGAGCCGUAUCAGUGCCGUAGGGAAACCGUUAAGUGUGCCGCCUGGGAGGUACGGUCGCAAGGCUAAAACUUAAAGGAAUUGGCGGGGGAGCACCACAAGGGGUGAAGCCUGCGGUUCAAUUGGAUUCAACGCCGGA
rnacentral:rRNA from 1 species